rnacentral:rRNA from 1 species
UCGGGAAUUUUGGGCAAUGGGCGAAAGCCUGACCCAGCAACGCCGCGUGUGGGAUGAAGGCCCUCGGGUCGUAAACCACUGUCAGGAGGAAAGAAAAGUCGGCCGGAUAAUACUCGGUCGACCUGACGGUACCUCCAAAGGAAGCACCGGCUAACUCCGUGCCAGCAGCCGCGGUAAUACGGAGGGUGCAAGCGUUGUUCGGAAUUACUGGGCGUAAAGCGCGUGUAGGUGGUCGAGUAAGUCGAAUGUGAAAGCCCCGGGCUCAACCCGGGAAGUGCAUCCGAAACUGCUCGACUAGAGUCCCGGAGAGGAAGGCAGAAUUCCCAAUGUAGGGGUGAAAUCCGUAGAUAUUGGGAGGAAUACCGGUGGCGAAGGCGGCCUUCUGGACGGUGACUGACACUCAGACGCGAAAGCGUGGGGAGCAAACAGGAUUAGAUACCCAAGUAGUCCCUGAGCGGGCUGGCAAGGCGCAU